rnacentral:rRNA from 1 species
CCUACGGGGAGCAGUGGGGGAUAUUGCACAAUGGUGGAAACCCUGAUGCAGCGACGCCGCGUGUGGGAAGACGGUCCUCUGGAUUGUAAACCACUGUCCUUAGGGACGAAGAUGACGGUACCUGGGGAGGAAGCUCCGGCUAACUACGUGCCAGCAGCCGCGGUAAUACGUAGGGAGCGAGCGGUGUCUGGAAUUACUGGGUGUAAGGGGAGCGUAGGCGGGGCUGCAAGUUGGGUGUAAAAUCUACGGACUCAAGCGGUAAGCGCACUUGAAACUGCAGGUCUUGAGUGAAGUAGAGGCAGGCGGAAUUCCUAGUGUAGCGGUGAAAUGCGUAGAUAUUAGGAGGAACACCGGUGGCGAAGGCGGCCUGCUGGGCUUUUACUGACGCUGAGGCUCGAAAGUGUGGGGAGCAAACAGGAUUAGAUACCCGGGUAGUC